rnacentral:snRNA from 1 species
GUGCUUGCUUCAGCAGCACAUAUACUAAAACUGGAACGAUACAGAGAAGAUUAGCAUGGCCCCUGCGCAAAGAUGACACACAAAAUUAAAACACUGAUUUUUUUU